rnacentral:lncRNA from 1 species
AUGGAUCCUGGUCAGGUUCGUUACCACGGAGCCACGACGGGGAGUCCCCUGACCCAUUCUUUACCAGGCAGAGCGGACACUAAAACAACCUGUAAGAAUGUGAAAAGGUUGUGUGACUGGACGUCCCUCUUGCUUGCUUUAUUUGGAAGCAUAAGCAGAGUGGCAUCCCGUCGUGCCCCAGCCUGGGCUGUGCCCGCAGUGCCCGGAAGCUCAAAAUGGAGGCCAGAAGCCAAGUCCACCAGUCACCCUGACUGCAAAUGGGCUGGGGCGCCAUCCCUGGCAUCCUGGGGUCCUUCCGCUGCAGCUCAGCCUUCACGUUCACAGCCAGGACCUCCGGGCAAGGGCUGGAGGUGGAGACAGGGCGGCGCCUGGGCUCGCUUUUCACACCAGAAGUUACAUAACAGAGCAAAACUUGGACUGGCCCGUGUCCCGGGAGACCUCCAGCUUGUUUCUGUCCCGGACAAGGAUGGCCUCGUUCCCGUACUGAGAGUACCACAUGCUUCGGCUCCGGCUCAGGGAAACGUAAGAGGAGCCUCGGAGCAUGUUCUGAAGAGACACCCAAGAACCACACGAGAGAUGACAGCAAGCAGAUCAGCAGUGUCCUGGCCACAGUUUCCUGGGGACAGUCAGGUAUGCCCUUUAUUAGGACAAUGCACCCUCCUGGGGGGGGGUCUUGUCAGGUGUCCACUGCAAUUCUGAUACCACCCCUUGGACCGCUUAACUUGAAAAGAUGGAUCUGAAGGGAUGCUGUCCAGCGAGGCGGAAGUCGACAGCAGCUGCUCCAAGCGGCCUCUGCUGCUCUGUGCUUGGACCGGCUUUCAGCACAGCACAGGCGCUCUGAUUCUUGCCAGGAAUCUGGAACCAGCAUGUGUUCUGUGCUUUUUUUUUUUCCCUCUCCCCUGGCUGGUCUUCAGCUCUUCCCAAGGGGUUGCUACAAAGAAAUGAACACGCUGUCAUGUUGGGGAGGAAAGGGCCAUGGUGGCAACAGCAGGUUCUCAACGCUCUGGGGAUAAGAGCGUUAAGCCCAGCUACCAACACAUUUCACCACUUCAAGGGCGCCCUGGUGAGGCAGACCCUGGGACUGGGUUUAAGGGGUAGGUGCUUCAAUCCCAGAUCUUUUAUUGGCUAAGAACUGGGGGAUCUGGGGGAAAGGCUUGUUGGGGUGUUAGCAUCUGGAUCCGACAGGGCACGGGUCGCGGGGCUCAGAACUGACCUGCCCAUGAUAGGGGUACACCAGCGCCUUCUGCCGCAAGCAUCCGGGAGGCCGCUGGACCAGAAAGAAAAAUGACGUCAGGCAAAACCCAAACAGCGCAGCAUCCACAGCUGCCCCCCGCCCCAUGCUUUCGCAGGCAAGCAAGCUCACUUCUCCUUGCGUGUGGCCUGUGCCCCGUCGCCCAGCCCCGUUCCCACUACCCGCGGCCGCUGAACCCCCGGUGGACCGGCCCACGCCCAGGAUGCCCCCACAGCACGCCCCCACUGCCUCCCCAGCAUCCCGCCCUCCCCCAACGCCGCCCCCGUCACCUAACCCGCGCCCCCCCGCCCCCGUCGUCGCCGCCCGGGCCACCCGCGCGGUGCGGCCUCAGGGAUGCGCUGGCCGCCCGACGGGGCGGUGCCAGCUGGCCGCGGGUCCGCGUCUCCAUGGCAGCGCCGCAGGCAUGCCGAGCCGAGC